GACGAACGCUGGCGGCGUGCUUAACACAUGCAAGUCGAACGGAAAGGCCCUGCUUGCAGGGUACUCGAGUGGCGAACGGGUGAGUAACACGUGGGUGAUCUGCCCUGCACUUCGGGAUAAGCUUGGGAAACUGGGUCUAAUACCGGAUAGGAACCAUCUUUAGUGUGGUGGUUGGAAAGUUUUUUCGGUGUAGGAUGAGCUCGCGGCCUAUCAGCUUGUUGGUGGGGUAAUGGCCUACCAAGGUGGCGACGGGUAGCCGGCCUGAGAGGGUGUACGGCCACAUUGGGACUGAGAUACGGCCCAGACUCCUACGGGAGGCAGCAGUGGGGAAUAUUGCACAAUGGGCGCAAGCCUGAUGCAGCGACGCCGCAUGGGGGAUGAAGGCCUUCGGGUUGUAAACUCCUUUCGCUAGGGACGAAGCUUUGUUGUGACGGUACCUAGAUAAGAAGCACCGGCUAACUACGUG
rnacentral:rRNA from 1 species